rnacentral:rRNA from 1 species
AUUGAACGCUGGCGGCAGGCCUAACACAUGCAAGUCGAGCGGAUGAAGGGAGCUUGCUCCUGGAUUCAGCGGCGGACGGGUGUGUAAUGCCUAGGAAUCUGCCUGGGAGUGGGGGAUAACGUCCGGAAACGGGCGCUAAUACCGCAUACGCCCUGAGGGAGAACGUGGGGGAUCUUCGGACCUCAUGCCAUCAGGUGAGCCUAGGUCGGAUUAGCUAGUUGGUGGGGUAAAGGCCUACCAAGGCGACGAUCCGUAACUGGUCUGAGAGGAUGAUCAGUCACACUGGAACUGAGACACGGUCCAGACUCCUACGGGAGGCAGCAGUGGGGAAUAUUGGACAAUGGGCGAAAGCCUGAUCCAGCCAUGCCGCGUGUGUGAAGAAGGUCUUCGGAUUGUAAAGCACUUUAAGUUGGGAGGAAGGGCAGUAAGUUAAUACCGUGCUGUUUUGACGUUACCAACAGAAUAAGCACCGGCUAACUUCGUG